UAUUUAGAACGGUGUUGUAUUACAUAUCUACCAGAUAAAUUACUCUACCGCGUCAUUUCGAACGUAUUUUCCACUGUUCUUAUUCAGAUAUGAGCCAACAGCAAAGAGCAGCUGCUCUUUUAAGGCAGGCAGCAGAUUUGUUGAAUGUCAACACAUGUGACAGGAGUACACAAUACCAGCACCUGCACCAGUAACCUCUGUCAGUAGCUUAAGUGCUGCAAAGGCAAUGUUUGCACCCGACAGUAAAAGAAGGAGGCAUGGACAUGCAAAUACAGGAACAGUGGCAGUGUCAGCACUGGACCAUUACACCGAGGUGUAAUCAGAUUCCUAGUUACAACUAAUGACCACCUGUUGAAGGAGCUAGACGUUACCAGGGAGAGACACCAGCACAAAGGUGAAUCAGAUUAACUGGAGCUACAAGCAGCUUAAGAAAAAGCUUCAAGGCCAAUCUAAAUAAGAAAUAUUCUGCUGGAACAUAUUGAACCGUUUAUUUAAUCAUGCAGCAAUUUGUUGUUUGCCAUUUGAUCAUUUGGCAUGCUUAAGCUCAACAUAAUAUUAGAGAAUUUGAUUUAUUUCACAUUAUUUUAAUUAUCUUGCAAUGAUUUUACAAGCAUCUUUUUCACACAUCUUGUAGAUUGGUAAGCAGAUAUGUUCUUGCUAGAUUUCAAUGGUGUAGUUUUUUAGUAAAAAUGUCUUGCCUUUCUAUUUUGUUGUGCUGACAUUUAGACAUUAGUCAUAAUUUGUUUGCAGUGAACAGCCUAGGCUAAUAGACCUGGUACAUGUUUUCAAUCAAAUUGAGCUGCGUUCUGGAGAAAUUGGCUUUAUGCAUGUGAAAUGUCCUCCCAGAUUAGAUUAUGUGGUCCACACAUGCUUAUCUUGGACAACACUUUCGGCCUAGACUGGAUUUUCUUUUUCAAAAUACUUUCUUUGAACGAAAAAUCUCAUAAAACCAGACAGUGUCUUCCCUGAUUAGCCUGUGCGGUCCGUACAAGUUAAUAUGCAACAACACCGUAUGAACAUGCAUUAAAUCCCAUUUUCCCAGAGCAAGGGUCAAUUGUAUUGAUUUCCUUUCAAUAUUUACAUGCCCUUUAUUUUAGGAUCAUACAGAUUCUAAAUGCCUAUUCAUUAUAAGCUGAAUAUUCAGGU